rnacentral:tRNA from 1 species
GAGAUUUUAGUUUAAAAAAAACAUUGAACUGUCUAUUCAAAUAUGCACAAAGCAUGUCUCU